rnacentral:snoRNA from 1 species
ACAACCUUAAUUGAACAGGGUCUGUUCUAUGGGCUCGUACCACUAUAUCCUUGAGUUCUAAUGGAUCCUAAAGAACAAGAGUGCCUAUUUCGACUGCAUUUAUCAGGCAAAGAGAAGUCAACUCCGCCAUGGCUGCAAAAUCACUGGUUGCAUGCAAAAGAGAGAACCUCAAAUGCCGACCAUCCAGUGAUUUGCCAGGCC